rnacentral:lncRNA from 1 species
CUUGUUUGUUUUUUAGAACUAGAAUAAAGAUCCCAAAGGGAACAAGCCUUGCUGGUUUUAAUCAGAAGUAUCAGUGACCAAAAGUUGUAUUUCCUUGUGUGGUGUCCUCAUCUUUUGCUGCAUUUUCUGAGUUCGUCUUGGAUCCUUUGGAGGGCAAUAGGCUGUGCCCUCUGAGGAUCCUUUGUGCUCCUUGGUGACCCAGGAGAACCUUCCAGGAGGUUUUUGGGUGAGCUGCUGCUGUGAUGUCACAGGAAUGUUUCCAUGUCCUUGUGGUGUUCCCGUUGCUGUGGGGCACAGAGGCCUCAGUGUCAGAGCGGCUCUGGGUGCCUGCUCAUUGCCUGAGGAACCUCCUGCCUGAGGCAUUCUCAGCAGCCAGCCCAGCCCCUGACGGGUGUCCUUCUGUCCUGGCAGGGGGACAGACAGUCUGCAGACGUGAGCAGCACAGCCAAAAUGAUCCAGAUUUCUCAUUCCCAAAUCUUGGCUGGAUGGAGGAGGAGAAGGCUGUGAGGAAGAGGAAGAUGCCCCAGGACAGCCAGGCAGACAAGGAGCUGAGGAUGGAGACCAGGGAGGACAGAACCCCAGGGCAGAACCUGGUGGAAGAGGCCGUUUUGAGCAGCUCCACAGCACAGGAAUCCAAUGGGGAGGAAAAUCCCCAGAGAUCCCACAGGAGGAGGGGCUCCAAACCCAGCCCAGGGUGCUCUGAGGAGGAAAGACCCACCCUGUGCCAGGAAGGUGGACAGAGCUUCAGCCAGUGUUGA